rnacentral:rRNA from 1 species
GCUUACGGCCAUACCACCCUGAGCACGCCCGAUCUCGUCCGAUCUCGGAAGCUAAGCAGGGUCGGGCCUGGUUAUACUUGGAUGGGAGACCGCCUGGGAAUACCAGGUGCUGUAAGCU